AAAUGCUUAUCCACGGUGCCUAUACCACGUGACUUUUUAAGAUCUGUGUGGGGAGUAAAAUAUCAACAAAAGCGCGACGAAGGUAUGGCUCAAUGCUCCGAAUGCGGGAAAAUGUCGAAGACCAGAGCUGGAUUAUUGCGCCACAUUAGGGGACACGCUAACUCUGGAAACUAUAACUGCUGUGGGAAAGCAUUUCAGGAUGCCUACAAUCUUAG